rnacentral:rRNA from 1 species
UACGUAGGGAGCAAGCGUUGUCCGGAAUCAUUGGGCGUAAAGCGCGCGUAGGCGGCCCCGUAAGUCCGCUGUGAAAGUCAAAGGCUCAACCUUUGAAAGCCGGUGGAUACUGUGGGGCUAGAGUCCGGAAGAGGCGAGUGGAAUUCCUGGUGUAGCGGUGAAAUGCGCAGAUAUCAGGAGGAACACCGGUGGCGAAGGCGGGUCUCUGGGCCAUUACUGAGCUGAGCGCGAAAGCAUGGGGAGCGAA